AUGCAAGUCGAACGCAGUAGCAAUACUGAGUGGCAGACGGGUGAGUAACAUGUGGGAAUCUGCCUUGUGGUUCAGGACAACAUUGGGAAACCGAUGCUAAUACUGGAUAAGCCCUUACGGGGAAAGUUUUAAUGCCAAAAGAUGAGCCCGCAUUUGAUUAGCUAGUUGGUAAGGUAGAAGCUUACCAAGGCGACAAUCAAUAGCUGAUUUGAGAGGAUGAUCAGCCACACUGGGACUGAGAUACGGCCCAGACUCC
rnacentral:rRNA from 1 species